rnacentral:rRNA from 1 species
GACGAACGCUGGCGGCGUGCUUAACACAUGCAAGUCGAACGGAAAGGCCCCUUUGGGGGUCCUCGAGUGGCGAACGGGUGAGUAACACGUGAGUAACCUGCCCUUGACUUCGGGAUAACUUCAGGAAACUGGGGCUAAUACCGGAUAGGAAUCCUUGCUGCAUGGUGGGGGUUGGAAAGCUUCGGCGGUUUUGGAUGGACUCGCGGCUUAUCAGCUUGUUGGUGGGGUAGUGGCUUACCAAGGCUUUGACGGGUAGCCGGCCUGAGAGGGCGACCGGCCACAUUGGGACUGAGAUACGGCCCAGACUCCGACGGGAGGCAGCAGGGGGGAAUAUUGCACAAGGGGCGGAAGCCUGAUGCAGCAACGCCGCGGGCGGGAUGACGGCCUUCGGGUUGUAAACCGCUUUCAGCAGGGGCGAAGCUUGUGGUGACGGUACCUGCAGAAGAAGCACCGGCUAACUACGUG